GGGAAGGGGGCGGGGAAAGGGGCGGGGCCUGGGGGAACGGGCAGGAGGGGCCGAAGGCAGGGAGCACGUGGAGGAGGAGGAAGGGGGAGGAGGGAUCCGGUGGAUCCCCGUGCGGCGGCGGCGGCGGCGCGGGAUCUGCUCGGGCAAUGGAAUCAGAUUCCGUGAUCCCAAGAAAUCCUGGUGUUGGAAUGGGGCUUCCUCUUUAAGCAGUGGAAGGAGAAAUACCUCAUCCUCUCGCUGGACGGGAGCCUCCUCGUCUGCCCGGACGCCAACUCCCCGGCCGAGCUGGACCUUCCCCUGGCUGCCAGCUGUGAAGCCAUCCUGGAGGGCAGCGAGAUCGGCGACCUUCCCCGGCUGCCGCUGGGGGCCCAGAGGGACAGCUGCCUGGGGCUGGACCUUCGCGACGGGAAGAGCCUGCUGCUGCUCGCCUCCAGCAGCCAGGAAUGCAGAGUGUCUCUCAGGGGUCUCCCUCCAGUUGCAAGCUCCAUAUCAACUCGCCAGUGAGAAAAUGUCACGGGAAAGGAGGAGGAGGGAAUGGCAGAGCAUCUCCUAAUGGCACAGAGAUACGAGAAGCUGCCUGUUCCCCGCAUUGCUUACGCCACGGAUCCCCGGCCCGCGCAGGAGUGAGGGCAGCUUGCGUCUUGAUGGGCGGUGCCGCUGCUGGCCCCACCAUGGGCUACAUGGUCACCUCGUCCACAGCGGGGCACCCUGUGGAAUCACACCCGCCAGACUUCAAGGAAUUGGGCUACCACCCGUCUGCCUGCAACUCCGAAUCUCAGUACGAAGCCCUGGAUUAUGAGGGGCUGGAUCAGGACUUCGAUAUGCUAGAUUUGGGAGGGUUUGCCUUUUAAGGUACAAGGUGGCAUCCCCCAAAUGGCAGCUCUAAAGGGCUUAAGUUGAGAAAAUGGCCGGCCUCUUUGCCUGGCAUCAUGCACCAUCCAUGGCAAGGAGACACUGCAUGGCAUGGUCUCUGGUACGUUGUCUUAAAAGGUUGGUGUUCAUGUUGUUGUUUGUCUGAUCCUAAUGUCUUUGUGAUCAAGAUAAUGGGAUAGGGUGUUACAUUCCAACUCGCCGGAGGGAUCCGAGAAGGGCAUGUGUUUCCUCCCUGUUCUCUGUGUUCUUCCUCCUUCUCUAUUAAACACUGUCUCUUUUUCACCUGCUGGUCUCGAGGUGUUAAUAAGCAACAGACGUGGGCUGUAGCUACCCACCUCCCUAGAAUAACCUUAGAGCCAAAAGGAAAAAAAACCCAGCUUGUCUCCCAUCGCAUGGGCAAGGUGGUCCACAGCC
rnacentral:lncRNA from 1 species